AGCGAACGCUGGCGGCAGGCCUAACACAUGCAAGUCGAACGAAGUCUUCGGACUUAGUGGCGGACGGGUGAGUAACACGUGGGAACGUACCUUUUGGUUCGGAACAACUCAGGGAAACUUGAGCUAAUACCGGAUGAGCCCUUAGGGGGAAAGAUUUAUCGCCGAAAGAGCGGCCCGCGUUAGAUUAGCUAGUUGGUGAGGUAAAGGCUCACCAAGGCUACGAUCUAUAGCUGGUCUGAGAGGAUGAUCAGCCACACUGGGACUGAGACACGGCCCAGACUCCUACGGGAGGCAGCAGUGGGGAAUCUUGCGCAAUGGGCGAAAGCCUGACGCAGCCAUGCCGCGUGAAUGAUGAAGGUCUUAGGAUUGUAAAAUUCUUUUACCAGGGACGAUAAUGACGGUACCUGGAGAAAAAGCCCCGGCUAACUUCGUGCCAGCCGCCGCCGUAACAC
rnacentral:rRNA from 1 species